rnacentral:rRNA from 1 species
GACGGGUAACUGGUCUGAGAGGAUGGUCAGCCACACUGGGACUGAGACACUGCCCAGACUCCUACGGGAGGCUGCAGUCGAGAAUCUUUAGCAAUGGACGAAAGUCUGACUAAGCGACGCCGCGUGCAGGAUGAAGGCUUUCGGGUUGUAAACUGCUUUUGUCAGGAAAGAAACCCCUUGAUUUAAUAUAUCAAGGGUUGACGGUACCUGACGAAUAAGCCACGGCCAACUCCGUGCCAGCAGCCGCGGUAAUACGGAGGUGGCUAGCGUUACUCGGAUUUAUUGGGUGUAAAGGGCAAGUAGGCGGCUUGUUAAGUGAGGGGUGAAAUCUUCCGACUCAACCGGAAAACUGCCUUUCAAACUAACAGGCUUGAGGAUGACAGGGGGAAAUGGAAUUCCCGGUGUAAGGGUGAAAUCUGUAGAUAUCGGGAAGAACACCGGCGGCGAAGGCGAUUUCCUGGUUCAUUUCUGACGCUAAAUUGCGAAAGCUAGGGGAGCAAACAGAAUUAGAUACUCUGGUAGUCCUAGCCGUAAACGAUGAGCACUAGGUGUUGGUCGUAAGAUCAGUGCCGCAGCUAACGCAUUAAGUGCUCCACCUGGGGACUACGGUCGCAAGGCUAAAACUCAAAGGAAUUGACGGGGACCCGCACAAGCGGUGGAACAUGUGGUUUAAUUCGAUGCUACGCGAAGAACCUCACCAGGGCUUGACAUGUAGGAAGUAGUGAACUGAAAGGGGAACGACCCGUAAAAUCGGGAACUUACACAGGUGCUGCAUGGCUGUCGUCAGCUCGUGUCGUGAGAUGUUGGGUUAAGUCCCGCAACGAGCGCAACCAUUGCCCCAUGUUGCUACCGUAUUUAAAACCUUCGGGUUUGAAUACGCGCACUCUUGGGGGACUGCCUGGGAUAACCAGGAGGAAGGUGGAGAUGACGUCAAGUCAGUACGGCCUUUAUGCCCUGGGCUACACAUGUGUUACAAUGGCUGGUACAAAGGGUUGCCAACCCGUAAGGGGGAGCUAAUCUCAAAAAACCAGCCUCAGUUCGGAUUGGAGUCUCAAUUCGACUCCAUGAAGCCGGAAUCGCUAGUAAUGGGAGAUCAGCUCGCUCCCGUGAAUACGUUCCCGGGUCUUGUACACACCGCCCGUCAAGCGAUGAAAGCCGGAAGUACCCGAAGUCCUACGUAGGUAGGCCGAAGGUAAAGUCGGUGAUUGGCGCUAAGUCGAAACAAGGUA